AAGACAAGGUUGCCAGGGAUUAUGAUCUGUCUGCUUUGAAACAUUGGGGGGGCAUCGACACACACCAAUUUCCCGAUUAGUGGAAAAUUAUCGAGAGGCGGAGGAGAUGUAAAGCAUGACAAGGCAAGAAUUCGUUGCACACUUGAGAAGUGAUCUCCUGGAGUUAGUUUCAGCAGAGAGAGGAGAUGAACCUGGGCAGCAGCCGAGCCUCAACCUGGGCGCAGGCGAGGAAGAGCCCAGCACCAGGUCGCCUCCACCUGGGCGCGCGCGGGCCAGGAGGAGCCCCUGGGCGUGGAGGAGGAGCGCUUGGGCAUGCGAGGACGCAGAUGGAGGUGGUCUGGAGC